GCCAUGCGAGUCAUGGGGCGCGCUCUGCGCGCACCGGCGGACGGCUCAGUAACACGUCGGUAACCUACCCUCGGGAGGGGGAUAACCCCGGGAAACUGGGGCUAAUCCCCCAUAGGCCUGGGGUACUGGAAGGUCCCCAGGCCGAAAGGGCGUAAGCCGCCCGAGGAUGGGCCGGCGGCCGAUUAGGUAGUUGGUGGGGUAACGGCCCACCAAGCCGAAGAUCGGUACGGGCCAUGAGAGUGGGAGCCCGGAGAUGGACACUGAGACACGGGUCCAGGCCCUACGGGGCGCAGCAGGCGCGAAACCUCCGCAAUGCGGGCAACCGCGACGGGGGGACCCCCAGUGCCGUGGCACAGCCACGGCUUUUCCGGAGUGUAAAAAGCUCCGGGAAUAAGGGCUGGGCAAGGCCGGUGGCAGCCGCCGCGGUAAUACCGGCGGCCCAAGUGGUGGCCGCUAUUAUUGGGCCUAAAGCGUCCGUAGCCGGGCCCGUAAGUCCCUGGCGAAAUCCCACGGCUCAACCGUGGGGCUUGCUGGGGAUACUGCGGGCCUUGGGACCGGGAGAGGCCGGGGGUACCCCUGGGGUAGGGGUGAAAUCCUGUAAUCCCAGGGGGACCGCCAGUGGCGAAGGCGCCCGGCUGGAACGGGUCCGACGGUGAGGGACGAAGGCCAGGGGAGCGAACCGGAUUAGAUACCCGGGUAGUCCUGGCUGUAAAGGAUGCGGGCUAGGUGUCGGGCGAGCUUCGAGCUCGCCCGGUGCCGAAGGGAAGCCGUUAAGCCCGCCGCCUGGGGAGUACGGCCGCAAGGCUGAAACUUAAAGGAAUUGGCGGGGGAGCACUACAAGGGGUGGAGCGUGCGGUUUAAUUGGAUUCAACGCCGGGAACCUCACCGGGGGCGACGGCAGGAUGAAGGCCAGGCUGAAGGUCUUGCCGGACGCGCCGAGAGGAGGUGCAUGGCCGCCGUCAGCUCGUACCGUGAGGCGUCCACUUAAGUGUGGUAACGAGCGAGACCCGCGCCCCCAGUUGCCAGUCCUCCCCGCUGGGGAGGAGGCACUCUGGGGGGACCGCCGGCGAUAAGCCGGAGGAAGGAGCGGGCGACGGUAGGUCAGUAUGCCCCGAAACCCCCGGGCUACACGCGCGCUACAAUGGGCGGGACAAUGGGAUCCGACCCCGAAAGGGGAAGGGAAUCCCCUAAACCCGCCCUCAGUUCGGAUCGCGGGCUGCAACUCGCCCGCGUGAAGCUGGAAUCCCUAGUACCCGCGUGUCAUCAUCGCGCGGCGAAUACGUCCCUGCUCCUUGCACACACCGCCCGUCACUCCACCCGAGCGGGGUCCGGGUGAGGCCUGGUCUCCCUUCGGGGAGG
rnacentral:rRNA from 1 species